UAUAAUCAUAGAAUGGUUUGGGUUGGAAGGAACCAUUAUGAUCAUUUAGUUCCAACCUUCCUGCUAUAGGCAAGGACAUCUCCCUCUAGACUAGCUUGCUCAGAGCCCAGCCUGCAGCCUCAGGCUGCUUCAUCCAGCCUGGCUUGAAUGCUUCCAGGGAAUAAUCUGCAUGUUAGAAUGACAAGCUUGCAAAAACCCUCUAGAAAGUUCACACAGCACACACAGAUGUUAGGCACAUAAUUCAUAUACUAAUAACACUUUGUCUUCCCUUUCCUACCUGUAUUACAAAUAAAAUAAAAUGCCUUGUUUCAAAUUUCACAUCACUUUUCACAGAAUCACAGAAUUGUAGGGGUUGGAAGGGACCUCCAGAGAUCAUCGAGUCCAACCCCCUGCCAAAGCAGGUUCCCUACAGCAGGUUGCACAGGUAGGCAUCCAGGCAGGUCUUGAACAUCUCCAGAGAAGGAGACUCCACCACCUCCCUGGGCAGCCUGUUCCAGUGCUCCGUCACCUCACUGUAAAGAAGUUCUUGCGCAUGUUUGUGCGGAACUUCCUAUGCUGCAGUUUCUGGCCGUUUCCCCUUGUCCUGUCUCCACUCACCACUGAAAAGAGUCCGGCCUCGCCAUUCUGCCCCCCACACCUUAGAUAUUUAUAGACCUGGAUCAGGUCCCCUCUCAGUCUUCUUCUCUCAAGACUUUUCCCUCUACAGCACAACCAGAAUGGAAUAUUGUGUAAACAAGAGUUCUGAACAUGCAAAUAUGAUUUAUUCUAACAAAAUUAGACAUAACUGUAACAUUAUACUGAUGCUAAGACAGGAAUCUUCAUCUGGCAUUCUAGAUGCCAUAAAUUCAGAAUUUUACUCUAAAUAAAAAAGUGGGAGUUUUAAGAAAUAAUUAACAGCAGCUCCACAUUUUUUUUUGUAUUUGCAAGAUAAAUUCCUUUGGAAGUCCACAAACUUUUUAUAAUCAUUGGAAACUUCUAGGUAUAGAAACAUAUGAAAUGUUAACCGACAAAAAUAAAUUAUAUUGGCAUACGUUUACAGUAUUUAAAGCAUUUUAAAAUGGGCAAAAACCCAUUUUUUUUCAAUUUACAAAUGUACAUAGAUAUGAAUUGCAUUCAUUCACAGCAUACUUCAAUGACUUUUCUUACCACAUUUUAUCAAGAUACGCUUUCUCAUACAACCUCUCUUGUACUUCCUGUCUUCAGAAAGAGACACUAUUGCAUUUUUGCUGGCACAAAAACAACCGUUACUCUCAAGCUUGUGGAAAAGUGGCUUCAUUCCCAAUUCUAAUUUCAGAGUGGAACUGAUUAUGACUGGGUUAUGAACCCGUAUCCUAUAGAGAGCCAAUAAAAACACAAAUAGGAAAAAAAGUUUUCAUAAAGAACUUUAUAAUAAUAUUUUUAAUAGAAUUUUGCUGACAUUUUGCAGUUUUGCUAGAAUGUUUACAACUAUACAAAUCUUGGAAACUUAGAAGGGUUGCAGACUUAAACUUCUUGCACAUUUUCUGCUCAUAAGAGAUUUGGCAUUUACAUAAGGUUUUUAGACAUUCUUUUUACCCUUCAAAAAUCAUCAUUAUCUAGGAAAUAAUUCUUGAUAAAACAAUGUAUGCUCUUUCAUUGAUUUUUUUUUUUUUUUUUUUUUUUUUAAGUAUGCCUAAAAUGCUGCUAGCCAGCUUGUUAAAACGCCAAUAUUCUCAUAAAAAUGAUGGGGGAAGUAUAUGCAGGAUAAAAAAGGAAUGCCAGGCAUUUCUUCUUAGUUGUUUGCAUUUCAUCUUCAUUUCAGACAGACAAUAAUGUUGUUUCUAUAUUCAGAGAAAAAUGCACAAAAGCAUACUCUUUUGAGUUCUGUCCUCUCCAGCCAGGCCCGUCAACAACAUCUUGAUAAAAAUGGCACUUCAGUUUCCACAUAACUUUAGUUUGUAACCUGUCUGCCUAUAACUUUUUCCCAUCCUGUCAAUUUGUGACAAGAUGGAGGGUUUUUUGUGUGCCAGAAACAGAUAUCAUCUAACUCAUUUGACAACAUUUUUAGCCACUGUGUAGGUAACAUUUAAACAAGGAGCUCAGAAGGGGAAUGGGUCUGAUAUUGCCUGUCUCCACAGGAUUCAGCACAUGGAGAUGUGACUGAAUUCAAACACUAAGGGCACAGGGUAGGAUGAAGCAAAUGUACUGCUGUUUUUCCAACUCCAGGUAUGUGAAUUAUCUCAGCCAAGACUUAGAUUUAAUUUACCCUUGAAAUUUAGAAUUGAAUUCAUGUAUACACUUAACCUUCUGUAUGCUCAUAUACUUUCAAUCUUUCCAUUUCUGCUAAUCAGCCAAAGUGCAUACCUAAAACUGAUUUCUAUGGCAUUCGGUCGGUCUGGAUUAUUGUUGUGCCUUUUAUUUGACACAAUUAGCUUUAAUUUCACCUACUGCUUUUGUAGGUAUUUAUGUAAUGCUGCCACUAGUUUUGUAGACACAAGCUUUAGUUUUGAGCUCUCCCCACAGUUUGAGCUCGAGCAAACAAAAACAACAAAACAAAAAUGAGAAAAAAUGCAUUUCUCAGCAUUACAAACCAGCAAUAGAAAAUAAGCAUUUAAAAACAUCAUUUUCCUGAAAGCCAUGAAAUGAAACAAACAAAAAACAAAACAAAAAAAAGCAAUCUGGGUUGGAACCUUCUUUUGCCACCAAUAUCUGAUUUUCUUUGCCAGUAUUCUCUGAUUGCAAAUGGUACCACAAGGACUAACACCAAUGUGCACAAUCUUGCUGAAAAUUUAACUGAGAGAUGCUACUACCUGAAUGAAGUGGACUACUGUAUUUUCUGGGCUUUCUCCACAGUCUCCAUAUAGUCUCAAGUAUUUUUCCAAUCUAAGUUAAGGUACUUCCCACAGUAGGGUUGUAUGAACUCCCUAAGGAGUAAGGGAGUUUCUGGAAGCUUUUGAAAGUGCAAAGUCCCUUCUCUCUUACAUCCACCCCAUAAAUCUGGCUGUGUCCAAGCUGUGCCCUGUACUCUACUUUCCUGGCAUCCUCUCUGUUUGUUCACUCUUUAGAGCCCAGCGGGCACCCAGUUUAUUUAUUUUCUUUGGAUGACACUUCUAAAUGUUGGCAACUCUGUGCAAAGCACUAUCAUUGCUUAACAUCAACACCUCUCCAAGCUGGUAAAGGGAAAAGGGUGUGAUUUCUCAUCUUCAUAUUUAUCACCCUUUUUUGUCCACAGGGAUUAAGCAGCAAGCAGAUGGGUGGGAGUAUCUAAUGUUUUACCUUUCCAGGAAAGCUCUCAUACAACAGGAAUGCUGUUGUCAUUCACGGUGGAAAGACCUGAAGUGAAACCUAAACAACAUGCCUACACUAAUAUGUUCUGAUUUGCAUUUCAUUUCAGGUGAUAGUUGAUACAGAGGACUUGUCUUUUCCUUGUCUUCACAUGGACAAACCAAGCACGUUCCCAAGAAAUGCCAUGUCAACUUGAACUGUUACUGUAUGCUCCUGGGAAUGCAGUCAUUUGAAUUCUCUUGAGUAACAGAUGAGUUAGCAAUGAGAUUUUAGCUGGAUUUUUAUGGAAAAAAGGCUUAUGCAACCAGGCUGCUUGUGUGCAUGCUUGUCUGCUCCAACCUCAACACAAACCACCUUUCAACAUGGCAGAGGAUUUCAAUUAGACUUCAUAGGGGACGGAAUACACAAAAAAUGUUGCUCUCACAUGUUUAAUGAAAACGGGUGAACUGGCAGAUGAAAGAAACUAUGUGGAAAUCUGUGCCACAGAAAAGGCACAGCACGCGACAUGAGAAAUGCAGAGGAUAGAAACCUUCUGGAUGCCAACACUGAAGGAAAAAGCUUCAAACUGAGCUCUGACCAUCUUAAGAAACCAAAGCAGGAAAUGAAUCCAGAAACGCAAUUCCAAGUUUUACUAUUUCCACUGCUCAGCGAGUUACUUGAUAAUUAAAAUCACACCAAUUCUCCACUCACACAGCAGCCCUGCAUUUUUUUACUAGCUAACUGUGUAAGCAAGGAACAGGACUUGGAGAACAGGGUAACCAAUGCCCUCUUGGAGCCAGCCAACAAAUAGCAAGCUGUCAGGCCGUCAAAUACCCUUGCAAAAUGUGAGGCAACAACUGCCUUAAAAUUGCUGUAAACAGUGCAGCAGAAACACCUGCCUGCCGCUAAGCGGGCUCACCACAAUGCCACUUCCUGCCAAGCUGGGCAGUAGGGCCUUGUUUUGCAUUCGCCUGGCACUUCCAGGAACUCCAGGGGCCUCAGCAACCAACUCCAACUGCAUUUCAAUACAUUCUGCAUGUUUUGCAUUUUAUAAAAAUUAACCCACACAGCCCCUGUAGCAACCUCAAAUCACUGACGGCGAUAUCCAGCACUGGCUCCCAACCCGAACUUUAAAAAACAGGUAUCCUAAAGUUGUCAGCUGUGCCUCACUGCCCCCUCACACACAGAGAGUGAGGACUCUCAGGAAGUGAGUGAGAGAGUCACACAUCCCAGAGUUCAGCAAUUUUGUUUUCAUGGUGAAAUCUGGGGAGCAGGUGUCAAGGAGCUCCAGGCUACUCCAUAGAGAACUUUCCCCAGAGACCAAACGUAGAAACUAUGGAAAUGGCCUGGGUCACGCUGUUUCCAGCACGUUGCAUAUUUUCAUGUCCAUCAAAACAAGUUUAUUUAAAGUACAAAAUAUUCAAGACCUGGACUACACACAAAAAAAAUCCCACAGAAAUUAAGUGAAAAUUCUGAACAUUUUUCAACUAUAAUUUUAAUUAAUGGAAAUAUCAAGAGCAGAAUCUUUCAUAAAUUAUGUGACUUCAAAGAAACCUAUGGAAACACGGAUCUCCAAACUUCCAGCCACCGAACUUGUAGGUGCCUGCUCAGCCUGCCUGCUGCUUAAUCCACAGUAGAGAAGUUCACAAGAGACACACAAAUGGAAAAAGCCAGAAACACGGGACCUGAGCAAGAAGCUGGACAACAGAACAGGCAGGUGGGCAAAGCAUGAAGCAAAGCAGUAUGGACACGGCAGCUGUCUGAUCCCCUGCACUUACAAUGCAACAGGGCCAAUAGGCUCCUGUGCCAUUUCCUUGCAGUCCUCCUAAUGAAGUGACCCAUAAUUGAGAUUAGUAAGGCUUGUGAUAAUAAAAAUUGCCAAAGAUUAUUUUCCCAGAACUCAAAACUGAAUGAUGCUUGAUUGGUAUUUCAAAACAUAACAUCAAAAAAAAAUAAUAAAUCACCAAAUCUACAGCUUUUAGGUUAUUUUCUUGAUCCAAGAAAUACACACUACAGCAGGAUCUGGCAGUAAAAACAUAAGAACAUUUAAGGGCACAUUUUUGUAUGAGUAUUUUUUAUGUCGAAAGCAUAGCUUCAAAAAAACUCCUUCAUGUUUAAAUAUGUGACUGCUUUAAAUGAAAAGUUAGUGCUUGCUGCGCUGGCUUCUCAAGCUGUUAUUUUAUGCCUUAAGCCAAAUUUAAAAGAAGCAACCCCAGAGUGUAACAUCAGCUUGUCUUCACUUACAGCCUUGUUUCAUUUGCAUUCUUUCAACAAGGAGCCGUGAAACAUUAAGCAACCUGAAUAAUAUUUCUGACUUGUAACAGCAACUUGGACGUGAAUUAUCCUCUGAUUACUCACAUUACAACAAGGCUUCUUUAUCUUAAAAGUAUUCUGAGUGCAGAUAAAAUUAAAUGAGUUAAAAGUACUACCUACCAUUAAACACAAAAAUACUAUUACACUCAUCAUUUAUAAGUCCAAACAUAUUGUAUAUUUAUGUAAAGUUCAUAGAUACUGUAAUCAGUAGCCGGACCAUGUGUUUUUCAUUAGAAGUCUUUAAGAUAAAACACCAUGGUAGAAAAAUAAAUAUUGAUAUAGAAUUACAUAUGAAGGGAAUCAUCCACUUUUUUUUUUUUUAAACUGUGUGCUAGAGAAUUGAGUAUACUUCUAAAACAUUAUUUAGGUACACAAAGCUUCAGGCAGAAGCACACUAAUAACGUAUGGAGGAAUGAGGUCCUGCUGGGACUUCCACACCAACAGUGGGAUUGAAGGGGGAGCCCAGAUGAGCCAGCACAAUGGCAGCUGGCUUGCUAAAGGUUUGCAAAUAUUGAUCAUUCCACAGUAUAGAGCUACACUUGCAGUAAUGAGGGAUAAGACCUGUGCCUUGAUAACAGUGAAAGCAAAAGCCAGUGUCAUUGAUAUACACUGCAAGCCAUACUGUGUGCUGCAGGCAGCAGGGACACUGGUUAUUAGGCUCUGCUGCAGGACACAGUAGUAUGAUCCUUGGCUCCCUUACAACAAGGGCAUUGGAAAACACUAGGAUGCAAACUGAAAGUAUUACUAAGAACAUAGAAGCCUAAGUCUAAAAGAGGGUGAAAUGUAUGCUUACACAUACAGUUUCCAUGGUUUUAAAUCACAGUGCUCUUGCUCACCAAGUUUCAGAAGCCACCCCCCAUUCAUCAACCUUUUUGCAUUUCUGGAGAGCUGAAGGGAGACGAUGAAAGGUUAAAGCUAGGAGUGUGGCUGAAAAAUUCUUUAACAACUUCUGAAGUUUUAACGCAGCAUUCAUCAAUAUUUCUACUCUCUCUCCACCUUUCAGAUUCUCAGCUCUAUUUUGUACUAUUAAUACUGAACUAUGCUCCUCAAGAGUACCAUCCAGACCAAAGAAAUCUUUCUGUUAGAGUAUCAGCCUUCCUUUGUGAAUGCAUGAAAAACACACUAAGAACUCUCUACUAGGAGACCCCCUGCUUUUCUGCACAUUGGUCAUCUGCAAAGAGAAGAGUGGAAGUGAAAAAGGGAAGCUGGAUGGAGAAUAAAGAUGGCUGGGAAAUUUUAGCAAAACUUUCUCCUGAAAGAGAGAUUCAAAAGCGUCAAAAGCUUUCAUCAAACAGAAGCGAUUGAUUUUCUUCUUCCUUCAGAGGAACGUCGAGGAGUCCAUGAAUUCCUUUGAUGAUUUCAGGUGGAAGUCUUAGUGAAGUUAGGCUCAACACACUUUUUUUAAAAGUACAAAAUGGAUAAUACUGAAGCAUAGCAUUUGUCUAAGUCAUGCUCUUACACUCAGUUUGAGAAACAGUGGAAGCCACCUCAGUGUAGUUGGGAUGGAGUUUUUUAAAUUCCACAUUUCCACAAUGCAAAAUCCAUUCUCUGUCAGCAUUGGCUAAUAAUCUCCCCUUCUACACUAUGUAUCAGGACGCACCCCAAAGGCAGCUAUAGGUACUUUUGAGUAUGCUUAUAUGGCUUAAGAGAAAGGCAGGAAGAGGUCUCUCCGAUACUCUGUUUCUGAACAUCGAGCCUGGUUACAAUUUCGGGAACAGUUUAUCUUUUAGAGAAUGAUAUUAAAUGGACGUAGUUGCCACAGAUCUGCUCUUGUCAUCCUACAGCAUAAACCAUACACACACAACUAUCAGACACAACCAUACAUUUCUCACUAGUCAUAAAACAUUAUUUAAGUUCCACACUAAAAAACCACAAACACGAACACCAUUCUGGUGGGCUGCAAUAGUCCUUCAUUUCUUUCGGAUACCUGGGACCAAACAAACCCCACCAGACUAUGUCAAAGGGUUAGUGGGCCACCAUGUCAUGUCUAGAAGAGGCCCACAGCCAAGUACAAGGUAGGACAGAUGCAAUCUGUCAGUUAUGGAGUAAGUUGAUUAUCCGGUGUGGAAAGGAAAAAGCACUACUUCAUUUUGUGAUCGGGAGCUGCUGUGUUCAACAGCACCUUCGUACAAACAUACAUAUGCACAUACAAAUAAAACCUCUAAUUGUAUGAGUGCAUGCUAAGGUUGUUCUGCAAUUUGUUGCAAUCGAUUCACUCAGUGCUUCUACCACUGGAGGGAGUUAAUUCUGGUCUGCAUUCCGCACGAAGCAUAACAGAGCACAUACAUUAAGCCACAGUUAAAGACACUCAUACAGCACCGGCACACCUAGCCACUGUAUGUCUGGUAGAUCAAAAGAAAAACAACAUCAGAAACGCCCAUUUCAAAAGACACACAGCAAGGGAUAAAUACUCCCUCACAUCAGUAUUAUUUUAAGAAACUUACUGUGUAUGAUUUUCAAAAUGAUAUCUUUAUAAAAAGUAGUGGAAAGAUUUCCUCCAUUUUUAAAAAUAAACCAAGAAACCACAGCAAUUUCCUGAAAUUUCAGCUUCAGCUUUACACUUCUGUUCCUUGUGGUUCCAGUGUUAAUUCGUUUUUCCAUUCUUGAUAACUAAGAUGCUGUUCAUACUAUUUAAUGAAUUUUCAGGAACACAUUUACCUCUGUUAUCUAUUUAACCAGACUAUAAAAUUUACUUUAAAUUAAUGAAAUUUAAUUAUCUAGCAUUCACUAUUUAAUACAGUUCUGUUGUGUAUUUAUGUUAAAUGGUGUAUUUUCAAUGUUAAUUCUAUGUAAUUAAAAUUAUAACCUUAAUUGUACGUAAGGUUUGGACAGGGCCCUUGGUAAGAUGCUGCAACUGUUGGUUAGCCCUGAAGUGGUCAGGCAGAAGGACUACAUGACCUCUGAAGUUCUCUAUUCCUACUAUUCUAUUUCUAUUACUAAAGAUGAAGCAGAUAAAGCAACGGUAGAAAGAUAAAUCUAGAAAUAGAUACUGGUUUCUACCUGGUUCUCUUAGGAGGCAAUAUUUUCAGCACAUGGAGGUGUGUGAUUCUGAGCUGUGAGAAUUGAUAUAUUUCAAAUAAAUCAAUAUUAUAAACUGCUCUGCUUAAUUGCUUACAGGUGUAUCUCAAUUAAAACCCAUGAGGAUUUUACUCCAUUAUUUACACACAAGUAAUUAAGCACAUAAUCACAUUUCAAGCAGCUUAGACUCAAACUUCUAUGGAGCCUUAGACUCCUAAUAAAAAGAAAUAUUUAUUUCAUAUCAUUUUCAGUAAGACAGUUCUAGUUAAAUCACUUCCCUCUGCUGGGGACAGACCCAAACCCAAUUGUUCAGAGCCAAAAAUUAUCAGCAGUGCAUAAUUCCUGCAUCCCCUAGAACACAAGCAGCUGUUUUCAGCCUUGUUUUCAGUUGGCAUCUAGAGGCAGUGCCACUAAUUAGCACACUUUUCUAGCAAGCUGAUCACGCAAAAGAGGCUACAGAAACAAAACUCUCUUUCAGAAGCAAUGCCUGAGGACUGCAGAAAAGUAGCACAGAAAUUUGUGGUCUUUAAUAACAAGGCUUGUUCUAUAUAGGACACCUGAAUUUCCAGGAAUGUCCUGGUAUGGCUGGUACAUUUCAUAUGUGUAAAAGCUGUAAUUCUUGAAAAGCUGCAGGACUUCAUCUUUACCAAAAGGCUCAUCAGAAUGAGUGCAAUCAUAAUUUGGAGUUAAAUGGCGUUAUUUUUUUUCCAAAUAAUUUUUAAAUCCUUACUUGCCUUUUUGCAUAGUGUGCCUGGAAAGUUGCAUAAAGUGUGUUCUUGAGGGCUGCACCUAAUUAUAUUGGGCAUCCAGAAAUAGGUGCAUCUGACUCAGAAUUUCUGCAUGCUUUGCCAGCCAAUCAUACCAUAAGACAUGCAAGCUAUGGUUAAAUUAAGCAAUAAGGCACCGCAAGCUGCAAGUUGUGACUUAUCGGCACACAACACACCGCAAAGAAGAUCACAACAGGAAACAGUUCUAAGGUAGUAGCUGUCCUCAGCCCAGCUAAGAAUAUCAUCAUUACUGUGGCUUUGUGCACUUUGAGUCAGAGGACCUACUAUGCUGACCCUGAACAUCACAAGAGAGGACAAAACAUAAAAUUAGGAGAGUUGAGGAACAGUUUUGAUUUUUAUGGCAAAGCAGUAUUUCUCCUGGACCACUGUUGUUAAAGUUGGAAAAGAAGGAGAGUACAAAUGAGGGAACUGAAGAAAUCAAGCCUGAUGAGUAAAACAUCAAACAAUAUUUUGCUAAGAUUUUUUUCAGAAAUCACUUCCCAGCCUUUUUCCAUCCAGAAUGUGAAAGGAUGAGAAGAAGAUCAUACUGGGUGACACAUUCAUCUAGCCCUGUAUCUUAUCUCCUCCAGCAAUGACCAGUGGAGAAGGCCCAUGGAAACAUCAAUACAGGUCAUGCAAAGUGAUACGCACCCGGCCCUGCAAUUUGUGAUUCAGAAGCUUCCAGAGCAAAAGGUGAUGGCUUUGUAAUGAUAAGGACAUUGCUGCAACAAAUGUCAAAGAUUUCUGCACACAAUUUAUUAAAAAGAAGUCAGUAAGAAACAGCAACUUCAUUAUUCCUGAAAUAAAUCCAAUGUGUAAAAAUCAGGAAACUUAUGCAACUAAUUUUAGCAAUAAAAACAGUAUCAAGAGUAGUGUUUCUUCUGAAUUUCUUAUGCUGCUUCUUUUUCAGAAUGUUAGUUAAGAAUAAAAACAAUACAAAAUCCUUAUGACAGCUGAAGAUGAAACCAGAGUAAAAACUGCAACAAAUCUGUAAUUCCUCUUUGAUCAUUCCAAUGCAACAUCUGCACUUUCUUAUCAAACCAAACCACCAAAAAUAAUCUAAAUAAACAACAGUAACAACAGAAAGAAAUCCUACGACAUCCCAAGGCAACACUUCUAAGGAGUCAGAAUAUUAGAGCAUUCUAACACACCUCCACAUGCAUUAAGUAUGUACAUAUUGCACGUGUAGGUGAUGUGGUGUGGAAUAAAUACUUCAUUAGCCAGAGUUUAAGUUACUGACUCAUUACUCAUAAACGGUAUAAUUUUCUUUUCUGAUUUUAUAAGCGUAUGUAUUUUAAGUGUUCCUAAAUGAGUAAGAACAGAAGACGGUGGUACUUGCAGUAAAGACUUCAACUAAGGCUGCUACGUAAAGCGCUACUGAGAUACACAGAAAGGAACGUGUAAUUUAUGGCUCUGCAACCCAGCACAAUUAUACUGAAGUCAAAGGGCCAUGCUCAAGAGUAAAUUGUUCGCCUGGUAGCAAAAGUUUGCAGAGCAGCUGCCUUCGGCAGCAUUUUUAAGUUUGUAUUUACAAAUAAAUUAACCAACUGGCUUCCAAAUGUAGGUCACAAAACUUGCCCCUCAGGUGGCUACCUAAUUUUCUCUCUGCUUUGAAAAGACCAAUAGAAAUAAGAGCAAAGCAGGCAUCAUCCCCAUCUCUCAAGCAUUUUACCCUAUGGAAAUGAGAAAUGAAAAUACCAUUAUAGAGAUGGUUUCUUGUUUGCAGCCAGCGCUAAUUCUCCCCUUUUCAUUUCAAAAGCAACAGGCAGGCCUAAAUAAACCCACACAUCUAAGACUUCAGACUGAAACACUGAAAGCACCCUUGGUUUAUUUCAGCCCUGCAUAUUAGCAUGAGCUUCAUUUCAGGAGAACACUGAUCUAGACGUCGGGCUUACAGCAGAGAGCCCAUUCAUUCCUGGAGCAGAAAUAGUGCUGAGCUAUAACGGGCUCUGCAGAGUCAAGAAUAGCUUAGCAAGGGUAGCAGUGGACAUCUCAUCCACAUACGUGGUGAUGUCUCCUCAAUUCUGAGCUAUUUCAAGACUUUUUUUUUUUCCUGACCCCGUCAGGGAGUAUGUUUUCCAAGAUGCAUUUGUAUUUGAUCAGGUGGAUGGAAAAAGUGAGCCAGGAACAGCAACAGUAUUAUCUGAAUAUCUGGCAGUCAUUAAAUCAGAAUUAAAUAAAUACAUUAAAAGAAUUUAUAGACCAGCAAGGGAGACGUCUGACAAACUGAUAUCCAACGGAACUCAAAAAAAAAAUGACAUAAAGGCAGGAACUGUAGCAUCAGGGAUCCUUGAAAGUAACAGUAUCACUAGCACCUCUAUAUUACAGCAAUGUUUCAAGCUCUCUCACACAGAUUUGCUCAGAUAAAAGAUAGAAUGUUGGCAUUUUCAGCUGCCAAAAUUGCCAUUUGCAAUUAAAAAUUAAAACUGGCACCCAUUCCAUGCAGGCAAUUAUCUAAAGGCAGCUGGCGAUCUUCCUUGUUUACAGUGCUGCUGUGUCAUGACUUCACUCUGUUUGGAAAUUUACUUUUUUUUUUUUUUUUUUUUAGGUUUAAACUUGUCAACUUUAUUUCCAGCUUAAACUUUAUUCAUUUUAAUGGUUUUCGUGGCGAUGUCAAAGAUUUCAAACUGCAAUUCCUGGACUUUCCCAUGGCACUGCAGUGCGACAGCUCCUGGCAGCACGGCGAUCCUCACGCCCUUCCCUACGCACUGCCUAUAGGAUACCACCUGUAGGAACCCGAACAGCGCAAGGUUCGAAACUAAUGCCCUCCAAGAAGAAAGCUCAGCCUGUAUCUGAUUUGCACAGCCGGACGGCAGGGGCAGCUCUACCGAGCGGCCACAAAUCCUCGUGCUGAAGGCGUGACAGCGCUACGCCCGUUUCUGCCGCUUAGCGCUCGCAGCACGUUGGUUCUCCCCGGUCAGUGCGGCCGCGGAGCAUCUCGCGGAGCGGCACAGCGCCGUGCUCUCGGCAGAGCACCGUUCCACCUCCGAGCCCUUCCCUUCGGCGGGGUUCGGGACUGCCCCGCUGCGGGGCGAGGAGCGCUCCCUGCGUGCCACGCCGCGUUCGGGGUCCCCAUCCCCGGGCAAAGGGCCGUGCGCGCCGCGGCACCUCCUCGGAACGGUACCGGAGCCCCGAACGGCGGAGAUCGCCGGGAGCUUGAGGAGUACCGCGGGGGAAUCGGUCCGAGUUUCACAGAUGUGACGACAACAGGACGCGGUCAGCGCCGCGCUCCUCGAAACGAGGAGAAGCGAAAGGAGGAGUCAUUCGAGCGGAGAAAGCGCAGAAAUGUCACAGAGCAGAGCGGGCAGGGCAUGCGGUCUCAGAGCCGACGCUCUCCCUCAGCGCUUCCCCGUCCCCCUGGCCGUGCGCACCCCGGGUGACCGCACACGCGUGGAGAGACGAACACGGCGCGGGGGUUGGGGGCGGGAGGGGAAAGCGGGCGGAGUGUGGCCAACUUUGGCACC